rnacentral:rRNA from 1 species
GAUGAACGCUGGCGGCGUGCCUAAUACAUGCAAGUCGAGCGAACGGACGAGACGCUUGCUUCUCUGAUGUUAGCGGCGGACGGGUGAGUAACACGUGGAUAACCUACCUAUAAGACUGAGAUAACUUCGGGAAACCGGAGCUAAUCCCGGAUAAUAUUUUGAACCGCAUGGUUCAAAAGUGAAAGACGGUCUUGCUGUCACUUAUAGAUGGAUCCGCGCUGCAUUAGCUAGUUGGUAAGGUAACGGCUUACCAAGGCAACGAUGCAUAGCCGACCUGAGAGGGUGAUCGGCCACACUGGAACUGAGACACGGUCCAGACUCCUACGGGAGGCAGCAGUAGGGAAUCUGCCGCAAUGGGCGAAAGCCUGACGGAGCAACGCCGCGUGAGUGACGAAGGUCUUCGGAUCGUAAAACUCUGUUAUUAGGGAAGAACAGAUGUGUAAGUAACUGUGCACAUCUUGACGGUACCUAAUCAGAAAGCCACGGCUAACUACGUG